GUUGCUUCUCAGCCUUUUGGCUAAGAUCAAGUGUAGCAUCUGUUCUUAAUCAGUUUAAUAUCUGAUACAUCCUCUAUCUGGGGGCUAAACGUUUUUGGCUGCCCAGAGAUCAU
rnacentral:snRNA from 1 species